GGGUCGAUGCCCGAGUGGUUAAAGGGGGCGGAUUGUAAACCCGCCGGUUACACCUACGUUAGUUCAAAUCUAACUCGACUCA
rnacentral:tRNA from 1 species